CCCUUAGAUGUCCUGGGCCGCACGCGCGCUACAAUGACUCACUCAGAAAGUUUUUCCUGAUCCGGAAGGAUUCGGGUAAUCUUCAUAGCAUGAGUCGUGUUAGGGAUCGAUCUUUGCAAUUAUAGAUCUUGAACGAGGAAUGCCUAGUAAGUGCAGCUCAUCAGGCUGUACUGAUUACGUCCCUGCCCUUUGUACACACCGCCCGUCGCUCCUACCGAUUGAGUGGUCCGGUGAACCUUCUGGAUUAAGCAGCAAUGCUUGAGAAGUUAGGUAAACCUUAUCACUUAGAGGAAGGUGAAGUCGUAACA
rnacentral:rRNA from 1 species